AUGAAUGCGAGUCUUAAAGAAGGAUCUUCGUUCACUUGGCAAAGCAUUAUGGCGGGAGUGGAUUCUCUAAAAAAUGUUUAUAUUUGGAGAGUUGGAAAUGGACAAAAUAUAGAUAUUUGGAGAGAUGCAUGGAUCCCGAAUGGGGCCAAUAGGAAAAUUAUCACUCCUAGAAGAGGGCAGCUUCUAACAAAAGUUGCUGAUCUUAUAGAUCCAAUCAAUAAUUGUUGGGAUGAAGAUUUGGUAAGACAAACGCUAUGGCCAAUUGAUGUCUAG
rnacentral:rRNA from 1 species